ACAUUGUAUUUUCUGAUGAUAUGAUUGCCCCACAGCUCGUGUGAUGUCAAUGACGUGCUUCACAUUGCUUGCUGUGCUUUCCAAAUUACAUUGUGGUGGGCGUUUCGUGCGGGGUCAUCAUCCGUCACGUCAUUUAUCUGUUAACGUACAUCUCGUCAUGACAAAUGCCGUCUAGCGGCAGAAGAAUCGCCAACUGCUCCGUUCGGUGGUCAAAUUGAGUUGCCGGCAAUCGCGCAACACGAGGAGUCGGCCUCCCUGGCGGCGACAUGAGCGGAAUCGCAUCGGCCAACGCCAGCGCCGUCAUUCAAUACCGAGACUCACUCGGCAAAGCGGUGGCCAAGAACCUGCUGGUGCUCGUCAUGGGACUGUCCAUCAACUACAUCAACUUCGGCCUCAUGUACACCUUCUGCAAGCACCAGAUCUUCUACUGGGACCCUCGCUACAUCCUGUUCUUCCACCUGGUUGUGAACGACAUGAUCCAGAUGAGCCUGAGCGUCAUCCUCUUCGUGAUCAGCUACACACUCUACAGGAUCGCCGUGUUUGUGUGCGCCCCCCUCCUCCUGAUAGCCGUCACCGCCACCGAGAACACACCCCUCAACCUGGCGUGCAUGGCGGCCGAGUGCUACGUGUCCGUGUGUCUUCCGCUUCACCACGCCCGCAUCUGCACCGUCAGGAGGACUCUGCUCCUCAUCGCCUUGAUCUGGACCGCCAGCCUCGUCUCCACCCUGCCGGACCUCUUCGUCACGCUGGCCACCGAGCCUCUCGAGUUCUUCUCAUCUCGAGUCUUCUGCAUCCGCCAGAACGUCUUCCCCAAUCCGCUGCUGGUUCGGAAGCAGGAGCUCUCGUACAUAUGCUACCAGUUGCUUGUGUGGUCGGUCAUCUUCUUCACGUACUUCAAGAUCCUCUUCGCGGUCCAGUCGGUCAGCAAGGACGCCAAGAAGGCUCGGAGGACCGUCGUCCUGCACGGCGUUCAGGUUCUGCUGUGCAUGACCACCUAUGUUGCUCCAGUGCUCAAGGAAGCUUUGCUCGGCUGGUUCCCCGAGAACUACCCGGACACGCUGUUCGCCUGCUAUCUCAUCGUUCAGGUCCUGCCCCGCGCCAUCAGCCCCAUGAUUUACGGCGUGAGGGACAAGUGCUUCAGGAAGUACCUCAAACGCUACCUGUUCUGCAAGAGUGGUGCUGACUCUGCGGAAAUGACGAGCAAGAAUAACAAAACAAACGCCAGGAGCGAUAACAAAGACCAAAGGCGAGAACAGCAACAAACUCACUAACCAGAUGAAAAAAAAAAAACGCAGACGACUGCGAAAGCCCUUGCUGCUCUCGUCAGUCAGGGUAUGGUCGCGUGACGGCCGUAAUGCGAGCCAGAGCGUACUUUUGCUUUCAGUUUCAGUCGAACGAUCUUUGCCUUGACCUUGCCAUUCACAACUUGACUGCAAACUAUAUGUGUAGCUUAUGCCUGUAAUUCACUUCUGGCUCGUCCAAAAGAACUAAAUUCUUCGUAGCCAUUUCAGAUUUCUGCCACACGAGGUGCUGCUUGCCAUUUAUGUGCGUCUGCUUUGUUAUUGCAGAUAACUACAAGUCACUUCCAGAUACCCGCGAGUGAAUUAGAACUGCAACUGAAUUGUAGAUCGCCGCAACUCUGGUUUGAUAGAUCCACGAUUUUCAUUUUGACUAAAUUCCAGUCACAUAGACUGAAAAAAAGAAAAGUUAAGAGUCCAAAACAUUGGAGUGUUACAAUCAAGGCUUGUCUGGAUUUGGGCCGUUUUAAUAUUGGCUUGAGGUGUUUUGCAUCAUCACCCGCAUUUUUAAAAACAUUGUUUUAUUCAUAUUAUUGCAACUUUGGUGAUUUGUUGUCUUUUUCAAAAUAUGGAAAUGCUCUCCAAAACAUUUUGAGGGAAAAAAAUAUAUAUAUGUUCCUCUGCAGGGGUCUGCAACCAAAAUACUCAAAAUAGCCUUUUUGCCUCCCAUGAGAAAAUAAAAAUCCACACAGAAAGCCACUAAUCAUAGAAAGUGAUGUUAAAACUGCAUAUACAUUAUCAUUGUUGUCUUUUGACCAGUAUCUAGAAAAUAAAGUGUGUUGCAUUUAUGAAGUUAAGACACUGCGACAAAGAACAUGAAAUUUCAUUUCUGCAUUAAG